AGUUAAAGGUCUUUGAACCUGUAAUUCGUGAUCCUAGAAAAGCUAAAUAAGAAGGUGAACCUGAAGAAAGUCCAGUUACCCCACUUUAUGGAAGGACACACUUUGUCACAUUGAGAGGGCUGCAUCUUCAUCUCUUCCUUUAGCACUUGAGCAUCCUAAUGGCAAGACCAAUGUCAUAAUCAAGUUUUCUUUCAAAUGCCAAGGUCAGUGCCUGACACAGAGCAGAUGUUGCUGAAGAUUUUAAUGGGUUUUAUGUAAUCCCUUUAAAAAAGCUUUUUAUGUGGUCCAGACUCAUAAUGAUGGAGCAGACAAUAGUCAUUGUUCAGUAAAGAAACCAGCCUGAGCUAUUUAUUUGAAAACUUCAAGUGAUCCGAAAUACAUUGCUUAAGAUAUUUUUCUUUCUUUCAUUUGUCAAACAUAAUUUUCAUUGAAACCAUGGGAAUUCCCCAUCAUGUACCCCAAUCCCCCUCAUUUCCCAGUCCCGCCAUAAGAGUUCUUCACCCUUGUUAUGUCCAUCCAAAAGGAAAGUUUGAAUAAAUAUUAAAAAUAAAAAUGUAAAUAAGAAUAUUAAUUAAAAACAAACAAAAACUGUAACAUGCUUUCUUUUGAGCCACCACACAGCCCCCUGAUCAUGGCACAGAUAUUUAUUAGUUUUGAAAAUUCACCCUUAUCCUAGUUCUUAUUCCUGGCCAGCUCUUAUGACUUAGAUUGUCCUGUUUUUCUUCAUCUAUGCUUUGCCUUGGGACUUUUUACCUUUCUCUCUCAUUAGUUUUCUCUCUUGUUUCUCUCUCUUUCCACAUGUCUUACAUUAUUGCUUCUCUUAUCUGGCUGGUGUCAGCUGCCUGGCUUCUGGUCCCUGGCAUUUCCCUGCCUCUUUCUCCCUCAUUCUCUUCCUUCUUCUCCCGAGUCUAGAUUUCUCCUUCUCUUAUUUUCUCUGCCUGCUGGACCUGACUCUCUUUCUUCUAGCUACUGGUCAUUCAAUUUUUAUUAGCCCAAUCAUGUGCCUUAGCCAGGUAAGGGGAAGCAAAUGUAACACAUCUUUACAUAAUUAUACAAGUGCAGCUCAGCCAAAUGUGACACAUCUUUAGGUCAUUAACAAAGACAGCAGAAAUAAAUGCAACACACCCUUACAUCGUUAAAGUGGUGUUCUGCAGCAUAAAACAAAUGCAACACAUCUUUGCUUCAUGAAAAUAAUAAUCCACAACAAAAAAUCACUUCCCUCCUCCAUCUUUCCUGCCCCUCAUCAGCCUCUUCAUUCAUGUUAGUGGUACUUGGAGCUGCAGUGUAUCAUGCAGUAGACCAUUUUGUCCAAACAGCUUUACUUGAAAAUGUUUUUUAUAUCAUGUGCUGUUGGUCAGCUUCAAGGAUGCUGGCUCCUGGCACAUAUCAAUAGUAGACCCUCAUUGAAACUACUCUUGCCUGUUCUGCUGUUACCAAAGUCAUGAAGAUCCUGAGUCUAUGGUUCUACAGGACUAAUUCCUUUAAGGUUCCAGUGGGUUAUAGAUGGGAUAGAUGUUGGGGUGUGCCAACUCAAAGCCCUGGAUGUGUGUUUGAGGGUUAGGGUUAGCUGAGUUGGUCAGUCCAGACUGCUAGGACUACCCCCUCAGAUGAGGGGCAGAGCCAGCUCUCCCUCACUUGCGGUGAGGGGUGGGGACCAGCUUUCUCAAGUGCAUGGGGAGGAGGGCAGCUCUCCCAUGAUUAGUGGAACGAGUUAUACCAUGUCAGGGUCUCCUAUCCCAGUACCUGUGAGGGGCAGGGUCAGCUUUCUGGUGCUGGUGGUGGGGCUUUCUCCCAGGACCAGUGAGGGUAUAGGGGCAGCUCCACAAGGCCCUCAUACUUCAAUACACAGUACAUCACAUGGUUCAACACAUGAUUCAUAUGGCUACUGUGGUAACACAGGCAAAAGACAUCAACAGAGACCCUAGUUGCUGUAGGAUCAUGGACCCAGACAUGGUCAUGAGUAACAGGUUGGGUCUGGUUUUCACCAUAACCCUAUGUGGCAGUUCAGGCCUCUCCGGUCAGCAUAGGCCUGAACUCCAACAUGGCCCAGAUUCCAGGCAGUCACGCAGUCCUCAAUGGUGACAGGAGCCACAGACAUCAACACACACCCUGACUGUGGUAGGGCCAUGGACCCAGACAUGACUCCUGACUAACAGCUCAGGCCCUGGUUGACUAACAGCUAUGGCCUGGUUGGCACUGCAGGCCAGCUCAAACUGUGUGGUCCCUGAGGCACUAUGGCCCUCAGGCACCAACAUGGCCUCAGCUGUCGGCCCAGACCCCAGCCAUCUGUGUAGGCUUUGGUGGUAACAGGAGCCAUGAACAUCACCAGAGACAUGGGCCUUAGCAGCAGCCCUGGCUCAGAUAUCACCAUGGCCCCAGGAGGGAAGCAGGCCACCCAGACAGAUCUGUUUCUCCACAGGACACGAACCAUUCUGCCUCUUUCUCUUUCCCAUUCCCCACCAUAUAUUUGCUUACCAUAACGGUGCCCAACCUUGUGGUAUCAGGUGGGACGGUGAUUUCUUUGACUUGCCCAGGCCAACCAGCCCCAAGUGGUUGUGCGGGUGUUCUUCAGGCACCUGACAAGCCUGUGGUUUCUUUGACCAGCCCGGGCCAAGUGGCUCUAGGCAGGUGUCCAGAAAUCUUCCUUAUUAUCCACUUUUUCAUACUUAACUUUAUCAAGACUUGUUUUUUACAGUCACUGACCUCAAGGAAAUAUUUCCAUUUGGAUGUUCUGGGUGGAUAAGUGCUGGAAAUGACACAUGCUCAUCUUCACUCAUAAGAUGAGAUUAGGUUCACUCACUAAACCGAGAGCUGAGGAUAUGCCUUCGCUCUUUCAGCUGAGAAAGGUCCAGGGAGAUAGGGCCCAUGCAGAGUCAAGCCCUGGACCUUGGGGCCAGGCAUUACAAACAAUGAUCUGGAGUAUGGAGCAGAAUGACAUAGCAGGGGUGAUGAAUAGGGCAAAGAGCCAACAGGACCCAGGAAGCAUUGAGUAAGAGGUUGCAAAAGGCAUGUAGUAGGUAAGAUGCGGUAGACAGAUUGGACUCUGUUGGAAGGACUAGCGAGGCAUGGAAACAGCUUGCGAUUCUCUUUUAAAUUUUCAAACUAACAGGAAACUCCUGAAGGGCCUUCAGGAGGGAACCAUUUUCAUCACGCCUCCUUUGCAGGAGGUACGGGAAGACACAGAGAUAAACCUGGAAGAAGAAACGGCGGUAAGGUUUACAGGAUGCUGUGUUCUCAUCUCAUCCCCCUUUCAGUUAAAAGAAAAUUUGAAAUGAAAACUAGGGCUACAGCAUGGGAAAGAAGAAGGGCACCGGCGGCAGAAUUGGCUGAUGCUGAGCAGGAGGAGGUGGAACUGAGGAGGCCCGGUGCUGUGAAUUAGAUGCGAUGCAAUUUGACUGGAGAGUUGAGUCUUCUAGACUCUGAAAGACUCACAGUCAUCAAGCGGUGUCAUCUGAAGGUGAUGGGAGAACCCAGGAUGCUGCUGAAUGCCUCUCCUUCCCCGUGUGAAUUUCCCCAUGACUACUGAACACCUCUCCUUCCCCGUGUGAAUUUCCCUAUGACUACUGAAUGCCUCUCCUUCCCCAUGUGAAUUUCCCCACGACUACUGAAUGUCUCUCCUUCCCCAUGUGAAUUUCCCCACGACUACUGAAUGCCUCUCCUUCCCUGUAUGAAUUCUCCCAUGACUUAGAAACCCUGUCUAAUCCCUGAUUACAUGUAAUCUUUCAGGGAAGAACACUAUUGACUAUUAGACUCAUUCUUUCUAAAAGUCCAAUCAGUAUUAUUAGUACUUGGGGGUAAACUGAGGGACAGCUCUCCACAUUUUGCUGUCACCUUAUUGCAUUAGCCAAAUUUUACACAUCCUUUAUGAAUUGGAGCCCCUGACCGAAGACCUUGUCUUUGAUGAGAAAUUUCUUCUAUUGCUUAUGUGUUUAAAUUUAACUCCCCAAACUCAGAGAUUAAAUACCACUGUGUAAAGAGUCUCCAUUAAUCACCACAGAGAUCAAGUCACUGAAGGCAAUGACAACAUCUUCUGGAGACUCCUGGGCCUUGGGCUGCUAUGGCAUCCUUUUCUUCUCCCGCCAAAUGCAAACAUUUAUCUUGUGUGACCAGACGGGAAUGAUUCUUCAGUCUCUGCAGAUUUAUCACUGGCCAGCUCAGUGACAAGUGUAUUAUUUACACAAAAUUUAUUUCCACGCUCAGUACUUUUACCCUCCAUUUAAACUAAGGGAAGAUUUUUCUCUACUCAAAAAAAAAAAUUUGUUUUUGGAAAAGUGGUGGGAAAAAAACGAGGCUUUCUUUUCUCCUUUUUUUCUUUGUUUUUAAGACUUGACUUUGAGUUCAUGGAUUUGGACAAAACAAAGACUCGAGGUUUGGUAAUUAGUCUAAUUAAUUAGGCUUGACAAUUUAAAUUGCAGUAAAAGUAAUAUUAAAGGCAAUAAUAAAUUUCUGUGGUGUGUUUGCAUCAACUUCAGCAACAAUAGAGAAAUCAGUUUGUAAAUUAUAAGACACUGCAUAAAUGUCACAUAUCUGUAAAUCUGAAGGAGAAGGAAACAUGGAAGGAUUGGAGAGAGGAAAGGAAAGAAAGUAAAGGUGUAAUUAAAAUCUCAAAAAUAAAAAAAACUAAAAUAAACGUCGCAUAUCAGAAUCAUUCAGUGACAUGGUGUGCAUUUUAGUCUCUAAGGGAAAAUGUCAGUCCUUUUCUUUUUGAUCUGUGUGCAUAUUUAUUAUUCCUUGACUUAAAAUAUUUGUUGAAUGCCUACUUGAGAGCAGCAUUGUACCACAGUCAUGGUUGACAGGGAAUAUGACAGUUCCAAGAUAAAAACGAUUCUAAGGUAAGAAAAGAUAUUACCAUCUCCUCAGAAAGUAAGCGUAACUUGAUGUGGGUUAGGCUUAGGGAUGCUUCAGUGUAAUGAUUCCCUAUCUCGGUUGCACAACAGUGGGGAGCCUGUAUAAAUACCUUCCUAUUGAAUCGUCACGUGUGAAAAUAGCCUGCGAUAUCUCUGUUCUGCUUUUGUCCUUUGUUCUUUAGAGGAAAACUCCCUUGGAGAAUUCGCAGGCAGCUGACUGUGUCAGUUCCUUGCUCGGUGCAUGACCACCGAUAUUGCAGGCACAGAAACCCAGUGAAGACAGUGCUCAGUGAAAUGUGACUGCUGCCUUGAGGAUGGGCUUCUCAGAGCAGGAGAGCCUUGACGGUGUGGAGGAGAAGAGGUUUGUACCUGAGAUCCAUUUCACUGCCUUGAGUGAGGCCACCUUUGUGCCUCCAAGGUCGGUAACCACGCUCCAGGUGAGGACUUGCUAGUGUCACCAGGGGGGUGCUGACUCUGAAAUGCUAUUCCUUACCAAGCCCCACAUAUGACCUCCUAGGGACUAUCAAAUCUCACCGUCAGAUAUCCUCCCCUUUGGAAAAUUUCCUUUCGUCUUAUGACAUUCAUUGUUUCUCUCCUAUUAUAAAAAUACAUGAUUGUUAUAACAUGCUUGAAAACUUUUUUAGAAAAAUCACAAGAAUGCCAUGAAAAGCACUCAGAUGUUAUAUAACUGUGAGAGAAACUGCUUUUUUCCUUUACGCAUACAAGCACCCAAAUGUCUAUAUAUUUUCCAAAUCAGCUCUUUAUUGGGAUAUUAUUGAUGACAUGCUGCUUUCUUUCUAUAAGCUAUUGGGUUAAAAUUUUCUUUUAGAAAUUACCUUUAUUUUCUUAUUUAUAUGUGUUUAUUUGUUAGUGGGGUUUCCACCUGCUUGCAGGUGCUCACAGUGGCCAGAAGAGGGCACUGGAUACCAAGGAACUGAAGGCACAGGCAGCUGUGACCCAACCAAUGCAAGUGCCAGGAUCUGAAUUCAGAUCUGGAAGAGCAGAACGUGCUCUUAACCACUGAGCCAUUUCCCCAGGCCCCUCCCCCCAGACCCCUCUCUGCAUCAGAUGUUUUCUUGCCAUGAAAUACAUUUUUGAGCCUCACAAAAAAUAAGUAUUUGUCCUAUUUAGGGCCGAGUAUUUGACCCUGAGGUCAACGAAUAAUGUAUUUUUAAAUAUCCAGUGCUGGUUAAACUUAGUGGGUCACAAAACAAAACAAAAAGACAUGGAUGUGGGAAGGGAUUUGUAGUGGGGAAGGGGAGGAAUAGGAAUGGAAGAAAGGUGAGAUAAAGUGAGGGUUCCAAUAAUCAGAACGACAUACAUACCUGUGUGUAUGUAUGUAUGGAAUUGCCAAAGCGCCUUUAGUAAACGAUACAAUUACUUCUUUGUCUAUUUCUCUUGUGAGGAACUAUGGUGACUGGCUCUGGCAAGGGCAUGUGAAGAGCUUGCAAGUGACUUUUGCUUUGCACCUCACAACAAGAGAAACUCCCCAACAAACCAAAAGAUCAGCUGUGCUUCUUAGGCUUAUCUGAGAAUUGAAGUCUCAACCCUGGAGAGACUGGGGAAUCGAAAGACUCUUUCCGGAGAUCAGUUUGCCAGAGCCAGAGCUGCUGGGCACAAUGACUGACUGGCAGCUGACACAAAGGAGUGGAGAUGGGCUGGAAGGAAACUCUGAAAGGUGAUCCCUGGGCCUAAGGCGGAGGGAAUGUCGUAUAGCUGUCCCAUUAGGAGUUGAGCAUCCUGUCUAUUCUCAACAUAUCGAGCAGUUGCCAGUUUUUGUAUUAAUCACCCACUACUGUUACUGUAAAAGGAAGUUUCUCUGAAGAGGCUUGAUAGGAGAAAUAAAGGUAAGAACUUCCAGGGCAGGUUAUUACUCUGCCCUCUCCCAGAUGUAGAUGCCAACAUUAAAUGUUUGGGCACAUGUGUCUAAGUUGGAGUACUCAAAGGUCA